UAGAUGUUAACGGAAAAUAUAACGCCGGGAUAAAUUUGAUGCAAAAAGUAAACCAUGGGAUAGAUUUGACAAAAAAAAAGCAUAGGAUAGAUUUGACAAAACGGAUAAACCAUGGAUCACUUUAGGUAAAAACCCCUUUUCUUUAUGCCUUGAAUGUCUGCGAUUGAAUAUGUUAGUUUGUUCUCCUGAAACCAGAGAAAGAUUGUCAUAUGGUUUGUCCCCAUUGCUUCCUUCUUACGUCCUUAAUGGUUUUCCAAAGACCUUUACUAAUCUGCUGGUCAUGUUCAUCAAGUUUCGGGAUUGGGUUCUGUGACUAUUGAGAAUGAUUGUAUUGUAGCAAAGGUAAUCGUUGUCCAAAAUUUCUGGGUUUGUUCUCUAUAUUGAGGUUUCAUACUGCUGUCUGUUCUGCUUGUUAUCUUUAUAAUUUUUGAGACACGGUGAAGAGCUUGUUCAUCCUUUAAAUGGAACUUGGAAUCACAAGAAGAACAAUGAGGAAUGGAACUGAAGACGUGUCAAACGUAACCUAGAGGUUCGUACAGUGGACCUUCUUGUUGUUUCAAUGGAGACGUGUUUGUCCUAGUUAUGAAUUAUGAUCUUAUUCUGGACUGGCCAAUAAUCACUACGAAACCAAGGAUUUGCUUGGAUCAGAAUGAUGCUGAAGAUUUUUACUAUGAAAUACAUAGAAAUGUUUGUAUUAUCAGCAUAUCUGGUGUGAACCAAUGGGAAGAUCUCAUAAGUGAAUCGUACAUGGGAAGAGCAGCUGUAUUAUUCAAUCGAUUCCGUUGUAUCGCCUUUCCAUUACUCUGUAUGAAACACAGCAUAAUGUACCAUUCUAUUUGUAAUCUAUGAUGUCAAACCAAAUGCGGUUUUCAAGCAUGAGCAUGAGGCCAUGGGUCUAUUUGACAGAACCACAUGAGUGGCAUGUAAUUAUAAUCUGUCGAGAAGGUAAACUUCGUGGCUUUCCUCUCAUUGAGUAGUUUGGCAGAGACCGCAAUGCGAUAAUAAGAGGUGGUGGGUUUAGUGCAGAUAAUUGACUGUAUUUUGCCUAAAAUGAUAGAUAUGCCCCAGCUCUUUUCUCCUGCUUAUAGAUUUUUCCAUCCAGUUGAUAAAAGAAAAGAAAGGCCGCAGUGGUGACUUGAUGGCGUCACUACCACCCGGUGAGGUUGCCAGCAGCAGGCAAAGGUCGCAAUAAGCUUAAUAUUGUAUUUACACUCCUAUAAAUUUAUAGGGGGGAAAGGUUUGAUUUCCCUUCGUCUGUGGAAAAACUCCCUGAGUAUCAUCUAACGUAAAUCUUGUUUGCUCACUCGAUCUGUCCGUUCACCUGCCUUCUCCCCCCUACAAAAUGAAAACUUUCCAUGAGAUGAUCGAAACAAGUCUUUAUAUUUUCGUCUAUACAGAAAUCUCAGAGUUGCCUUCGCCAGACCAGCCAUGAUAAUGGAAGGUUCCAUCUUUGUAUCCACAAAGUAUUCUUCCUCCCUGAAGAAAUUGAUAUUUGACAUCCUCACUAGACUUCCCAUCAAGCCUCUGAUCGGGUUCAACUGCGUCAACAAGAAAUGGCGUUGACUGAUCCCCGAUCCUUGACUUGCCAAGGCGCAUCUCCGGAGAUCGUCCAGCGAAGAGCCAGGUCCUCACAGGGAGUCCUUGUGACCUCCUACACUUUUCGGAUCCAUAAAUUGCGAAGCAUAGGUAAAGGCAAUGGGGAAGAUUUUACUAUCAUAGAGUUGGAUUAUAAGGGGAUCCUUCCUGAGAACCGGCUGGUGAUCCUGUACUCUGUUCACGGCUUACUGAGGCUGCAGAUCGUGGGCUCCUGUCACGGCUUAGUGAGUUUGCUUGUCGAUUAAAAGGUUUGUGUUAGGGAAUCCAACUACACAGGAGUACAGGGCAGUGCAAGAGCCCAGCUUUGUUUCUACACCAACGAAUUUCUUUUUCGGUCUUUGAUAUGAUUCUUCGACAGAUGACUACAAGCUCGUCAAGGGUUCUUGUUUUUCUGCUGAUUGAACUAUGCUGGAGAUCUUUGGAUUGAAACCAGUUCCUGGAGAAAUGUUGAAUUUGAGGGUGUUAGUUGCAAAAACAUUGGGGGAACCACGACUUACUCAGAUGGGUCUUUGCAUUAGCAAUCUGGCAGAGGCAGUGCUCCAGUGACGAAUAGCGAGCUUGUUUCAUUUGGUUUGUUUGAGUAGAAGUUCUACAGGUUAACACCGCUGCCGGGUUAUGACAGACUGAUUGACCUAGAAGGGCCAGGUUUAGUCAGAGAAUCUCGAAGCCAGGCCGUCUUGGACUCGAUUGAAUAGCUUUUCAUGCGAGUCGCCUGAUAGACAGUUUUGGUUAAGACCACUUGCACUCAGUAGUGAUGGGAAAUCAUCUUUCAUUUCUUCAUGCGCUACUUAUGGAUGUACGACCCUGUGGACAAUUCAAGUAGGUUUAUUGUGUUUUCAAGAAUUGGGAUGGUUCAGGACAGUCAAAACUCAGGCAUGAUCAAGAGUUUCAUGAAAAGAGGAGGCGUGAGGUAAAAUUUUUGGCUCAGACAUUUGAUCCCUAUGGAACGUAAAUAAACUUCUUUA